rnacentral:rRNA from 1 species
GACGAACGCUGGCGGCGUGCCUAAUACAUGCAAGUAGAACGCUGAAGGAGGAGCUUGCUCUUCUGGAUGAGUUGCGAACGGGUGAGUAACGCGUAGGUAACCUGCCUGGUAGCGGGGGAUAACUAUUGGAAACGAUAGCUAAUACCGCAUAAGAGUAGAUGUUGCAUGACAUUUGCUUAAAAGGUGCAAUUGCAUCACUACCAGAUGGACCUGCGUUGUAUUAGCUAGUUGGUGGGGUAACGGCUCACCAAGGCGACGAUACAUAGCCGACCUGAGAGGGUGAUCGGCCACACUGGGACUGAGACACGGCCCAGACUCAUACGGGAGGCAGCAGUAGGGAAUCUUCGGCAAUGGACGGAAGUCUGACCGAGCAACGCCGCGUGAGUGAAGAAGGUUUUCGGAUCGUAAAGCUCUGUUGUAAGAGAAGAACGAGUGUGAGAGUGGAAAGUUCACACUGUGACGGUAUCUUACCAGAAAGGGACGGCUAACUACGUG